GUACUUGUGCAGGGCUCGGGUACCUCAGCAGGACCUUUCCCUGUGGCUCGUAUUUCUGAUUGAAACGUGGGGCAGAGAUGGCCAGCAGCGUCCCGCUGAGCGGUGAGGAGCGCUUCUGCAGCCUCCAGCGCUGUGAGGAAGCAGAGGUGUUACUCAGUGGGCAGCAUCCCAGCGGGGCCUGGCUCAUGAGCCGGGACUAGCCCAGGGGCCGGCUGAAGCUGAAGAGGGGAACACGGACGGGUGUAACACCAGCCAGGGAGCGCCUGCACUCCCGCCAGUCCCGGGCUUCAUUUCUGCCCCGGUGAAAUGGGACCUGCAGCCUCCCAACCUUUGCUCCCCGUGCUGGUGUGGGCAUACUGCGAUGACCGUCAUGUGACGGAUGGGAAAGAAGCGUGAGAAGCAGAAGGCACCCACAGGCAAGUGUUAACCGCUGUUGCUGGCGUCUUUUGGAAACAAAACACACGGUGCCACAAACAGAUUUCCAAACUGCGCUAUUUCCGGAAAGAAGCAACCACCUGCCCUGGAAACGCAGCCACCUCGGGCGAAAACGCAGCAGCCACUGAGUGGGGAGCAAGGAAACGCGAGGCGGGAGAGGAGGUAAAGCCAAGCCUCAAACCCUCCUGGGCGCAGAAAGGUCCGAUUUCUCAACCCGAAACUCCCGCCGAAGUUAACCGGAGCCAGGAAAACAAAACUUGCUGGAGGAGAGAUCUGCUCCGAGGGUGAUGGUGGUGGAAAACCCUGUGACGCCCGCUGCUACCGGCCCCGCUCCGGGCUCUCCGGGGGCUGCUGCCUGCCUCCCUCGCACCGUCGACUCAGGCCUGGAGGAACUCGCGCGCCACGGGGAGGUUUCCCGCCCCGGCUGCCAGUGGCUGCGCGCCGCCGCUCGCUCCCUCCCUCCCACCGCCGCCCUCCUCUCGCUCCUCCAAAAACAGGGCCGCGAAAGCGCCCUGUAAAUCUGCCCGGGGGCCGGGAUGUGGGGCCCGGCGUCCAUCCCGGUGGCGGAGGAAGGGGGAAGCGCGAAGGCCGCGGUGGCCACGCGGCCCGGUCUCGGCGAGGCCGGCGGAGGCGGGCGGCGUUUCCGCACUUACCGCGCGGGGCUCCUCGGCGGGAGGCUUUGUGCCGGCUUCCCCCCGCCGGUCGAGCCUGGCCCGGCCGUGCGGCCCCGGGGACCGGGAGCGGAGGCGAAAGCGCGCGCACGCACGCAGCGGGGGGCCUGGCGAGGGCGGCCGGAGAGCGGCGCGCGGCCGAGCGGGGGCCCCGGGAUCUGCUGAGUUGUAACGCGAGUUUCCUGGAAUUACUCACUCGCAGGAUUCUUUUCAUUCAUAAAAACACAGUCAUGCGGUGA